ACCAAUAUGUUCCUGAACUCUGCUUGACUCAGCACUUUUCUGCUGGACUGGCAAGUACAGACACCAAGGAGCAGCUAGAAGCUCCGAUAAAUCAAAUAUUGACAUAUUUUCUCCAUUGUUAUUACUGAAUUUGACGUCACGUGACUGUCGUUCGCCACGCAUGCGCCUUGCUAUAAAUCGAGACGAGAAAAUUAUAUAAUCACGCAAAUAAUGUGAAAAAGUGACGCCAUGUUGUCAACACUACAACAGUUGGAUAACAAGAGCCAAGAGUGUCGCAUUUCACUGGCGACCCACACAUCUACUCCCUUCUGACAGAUAGGAAGUGGAUCAGGUGUUUAACCUAGCUAAGUAACCACCGCGCAUGUUCAUUCAAACACUCAUCAAUAAUCGCAACAUAAACACCAAGCUUGAAAACAUGACAGUGUAA